rnacentral:rRNA from 1 species
UACGUAGGUGGCAAGCGUUGUCCGGAUUUACUGGGCGUAAAGGGCGCGUAGGCGGCCACCGCAAGUCGACUGUGAAAUCUCCGGGCUUAACUCGGAAAGGUCAACUGAUACUGUGCGACUAGAGUGCAGAAGGGGGCAACUGGAAUUCUCGGUGUAGCGGUGAAAUGCGUAGAUAUCGAGAGGAACACCUGCGGCGAAGGCGGGUUGCUGGGCCGACACUGACGCUGAUG